AUUUGUUUGCAUGAAGAUUUUUUAGUUCUUGCCAAACGUCUUAUUCCUUGGCAAACAUCAAACCACUUUUGUUUCUUUUUAUAGAAAUAGGUACAUAUUUAAAGGUUGUUCUUGGAUAUACCCACUUGAUUUUUUUUAACUUAAUUGCUUUUCAAUCUAUUUACCUUUCUUCCUAGGGUGAAACUGUAGCUAUCCACCCUCUUCUCCUGUUUUCAGGUGAGAAGUCUGAAUUGUGGGUAUUGUAGUUUUUUUGCCUAUUAGGGUUUCUGGUUGGGCAACCUUGGAGCCACACUGGGAGGACUUCUAAUCCCAGGUGGCUCGGUACGCAGCAGUUCAGUCGCAGCCCACAGAGCAAGGCACGUUUGAAGAGAGUCCUUGGUUUUGGUAGAGUGACUUCCAUUCAAUAAAAUAAUGUUCCUGAACUGAAGAAACUGGAGUUCAUUUCCACAACUGCUAAAGUUCAAGUUUCUCAGGAUGUCUGAUAAAGCCAUUCAGGACCAGUUCCUGCUGGCAUCUAACUUGCAAGAAGAGUAUGACAAAAAAGAAGUCAAAAGUGAAGGAGGUGUGGUUAACACACGAAGGAGACCAAGAAGUAAAGUUUACCAUGACUGGAAGUUUGAACUAGAAGGAGGAAAAAUGUUAACCAGUGAAAGAGGACGUCUUUGGUCGGGAGGAAUUUCACAAAGUAGGUCUGAAGGAAAUUUGCUUGACACGGAAGCCCAAAAAUCCUCAAAAACUUGCAAUCUUACAGAUGCUUUCGUACUUCAUGGCAAUGAUGCUUCCAAAGCUAUGAAUCCAUUCUGGAAUGAACUAUCUGCUUCUAACCCAUUUUUGGAUGACAUAACUCAGCUAAGAAAUAACGGGAAGAGAGAGAAUAUUUCCAUCUUGAAGGAAGAUCCUUUUCUUUUUUUUAGAGAAAUAGAAAAUGGAAAUUCUUUUGAUUCCUCUGGUGAUGAAAUUGAUGUGCAUCAAUUGCUUAGGCAGUCUUCCUCAAGGAAAUCUGGAAGAUCUAAAAGUGUUUCAGAACUUUUGGACAUUUUAGAUGACACAGCAUAUACUCAUCAGAAUAUACAGAACUCUGACCAGAUCCUAGAACAAGACUUAGAAUGGCUUCAAAAUGAUCGGGAGGCUUAUAAAAUGGCUUGGUUAAGUCAACGCCAGCUGGCCCGUUCCUGCCUGGAUUUGAGUACAAUUAAUCAGAGUCCCGGGUGGGCUCAAACACAAGUUGCAGAGACCAUGAUAGUUUGUAAAUUAAACCAUCAAGGAGGGUCAGUACAAUUACCUGAAUCAGAUAUCACUGUUCAUGUGCCCCAAGGCCAUGUAGCUGUGGGAGAAUUCCAAGAGGUAUCUUUAAGGGCUUUUAUUGAUCCUCCACAAAUGCUUAACCAUGAUCUUUCAUGCACUGUAAGCCCACUGUUGGAAAUCAUGUUAGGCAACCUUAACACAAUGGAAGCUAUUCUACUGGAGAUGAAAAUAGGGGCUGAAGUGAGAAAGGAUCCUUUCAGCCAAGUCAUGACAGAAAUAGUGUGUUUACAGAGCCGGGGUAAAGAAGGCCCUUUCAAAGUGUUAAACAACUGCUACAUUUAUAAAGACGCCAUCCAAGUCAAACUAGUAGACUUGAGUCAGGUGAUGUAUCUAGUGAUUGCUGCACAAGCUAAAGCUACUGAGUCACCAGAUGCCACCAUUUGGGAUUAUAUCCACAAAACCACCUCAAUUGGAAUUUAUGGGCCCAAAUAUAUCCAUCCCAGUUUCACUGCUAUUUUCACAGUUUGUGGACACAGUUAUAUGCCAGGAAAGCUUACAAUCUGUGAUAUGAAGAAGGGUGGAAAAAACACAUCUCCAGUUGUGUUUCACCUCUGGGGGAAGCAUUCUUUUGUUCUUGACAAGCCACAAGAUUUAAGGAUUUCUGUUUUUUCACGUGAUCCUGAUUUUGAAGUAAAGGCAGAAGGAGAAAGGAAAGCAAUUAAACAAAAGCAGUUGCAAGCAGGUGAAGUAGUUCAUCAACAAUUUUUAUUUUCCUUAGUUGACUCCAGAGAAAUACACUUGUUUGUUUUCCGUGUUCAGGUGGAGCCUCCCAAUGGUAGAACAGUUACACAGUUCUUUAUCACUACACCUGAUCCAGCCCCAAACCUAAAAAGGCUCUCAAAUCUGCCAGGUGAUUUGCAGAAGGAAAAGGAAAUCAAGUCUACUCCUUUAUUACCAACAGUGCAUGUUAAAUAUCCCACAUUUCAAGACAAAAAAUUAAACUUUACCAACUAUGGGGUAAGCCUGAAGACAGUGCUAAGACAAAGCAAGAUUGACUACUUACUUGAAUAUUUCAAAGGGGACACAGUAGCUCUUCUUGGAGAGGGUAAGAUAAAAGCCAUUGGGCAGUCCAAAGUGAAAGAAUGGUAUGUGGGAAUCCUGAGAGGUAAGAUUGGACUUAUACAUUGCAAAAAUGUCAAGGUGAUUGCAAAGGAAAAAGUAAUGUCUAUGCCAGAUAGUGUCUUCACAACCCGGAAUCUCAUUGAGCAAAUUGCCCUGCCCUUUAAAAAACUGACUUACAUGUAUUCAGUUGUAUUGACCAUGGUGUCAGAAAAAGUUUAUGACUGGAAAGUUUUAGCUGGUGCCCUGGGCUACUCACAUCUGGCACUGGAAGAUUUUGAUGGAAUACAAGCAGACACAGAAUCAGAAAAAGUUUCUUAUGUUGUGAAGAAGUUAAAGGAAGAUUGCCAUGCAGAUAGAAAUACCAGGAAGUUUCUUUAUGACCUUAUUGUGGCUCUCCUGAAGAUGGAUUGCCAAGGCUUAGUAGCACAUCUCAUCCAAGAGGCUGCUAUUCUGACUUCAGCUGUUAAGCUUGGAAAAGGCUGGAGGGAGCUAGCUGAAAAGUUAGCGCAACUCACAAAGCAACAAAUGGAGGCAUAUGAAAUUCCUCACCGAGGAAAAGCUGGAGAUGUUGCAGUUGGGAGUAUUUCUUUUGGAAAAAAAAUACACAUAUACUUUACAGAGAUGUUUAACUAUGCCAAGGUUUUCCUGUGAAGCCAAGAUCUUUGUCUCUCCUCAUUUUUGACUGGCAGCUGUAGUGUUCAGAGCACUUCAUUUAAGUCUAGAUUAAAAGUGGGAAAGUAGGUAUUCCUCAAACAGCUGAUUUUAUUUUAUUUUAUAAGUGAAUGAAAAUACUAUAUGGAAAUCUUCAUACUUGUUUAGUGUCUUUCCUCUGUAUCCUUACUUUCUGUAUUUAAGUCAUCUGUAUAUUUAACACAUUUUCUGGGACUACCACUUCUCAGCAUUGGAACAUCAAGAACUACAAAAAACAUGAACAGAAUGAAAAGUAUAACGUUUUCUCUCUAAAGCCAAAUUUUGUUUGGCAUGGGAAUUGGGAUAAACUGUUAAUAUCUGAAUUGUUAUAUUUUAAAGUUUAUGAUUAGAUGAUGAAAUAAGUAAAAAUAACUAAUAAUGAGAAUACUAGUUGUUGCAAUUUGUUGCAUGUUUACUGCAUGUCAGCUAAUCAUUAUGAACAUUUUCUUUACAAUAUCUCAUUUAUUUCAACAAACUUUGUGAGGCAGCAAUUAUAACUAUCUGCUUUUUACAGAUAUGCAAACUGAGAGUGAAUGCAUUUGUGUAAUUUACCCAGAAUUACAUGGUUAUUAAGUGACAGAACUGGGAUUCAAAUCCAGGUUUGUUUCACACACAGUCCUAUCCACUGCACUUUACGGAUGAGAAGUCUUUUCAGAAUUAACUAAAUAAAAAAUGGUCAAAGUGGGCAGGAGCUGUCAGAGGACACAUCCACGUCCUGAAGGAUGGGUAGCAUUUGAAUAAUUGGAGAGGACUAGAAGGAGAGUUCAGUGCUUCUGGAUAGCAAUGACUUCUAGAGACCACUGAGGAGAAUAUGUGGGCUGGAGAGGAGAGUUCGUCUUAGUAGUUAUUGGGAGAUAUGGUCAGAUAUAUAUAUUUGGGAGUUGACAGAAGAGAGUCUUGAAUGCCUGCCAGAGCACAUAGGUUAAGAUUCCUGGUCUGGAUUCCUGUUCCUGCUCCACCAUCUCUUAGCCCUAAAACCUUCAGUAAGUUUUCUAAGAAUCACUUUUUUUGUUUUUUGUUUUUUUUUGUAAAAUGAGGUGAAUAAUAUUAUCUUACUCAUUGGAUGUUUGGAGGAUUAAAUGAGAUAAUAUAUGUGAAAUAUGUGGGGCAAUGCUUUGCAUAUUUUAAUAGCUAAAUACAUAUUAUCUAUUAUUUUGACUAAGAGGAAGAGGUGAAUUUGACAACUGUGUGACAGUGAUUAAUUUUGGAAAAGGGAAUAAAGUACAGGAAUUUUUGAGUACUAUGGCUGAGAGUGACUAUAGAAAGACUAUAGGUAAAGGAAAAGUCAGCAAAGAUUUCAAGGCUUCUCUUCUGAGAAACUGGCAGAAUGGUAAUGCAUGGAAAAAAAUAAGAAAGAAAUCUUGGCUGAUCAGCUCUUUCUAACUCGUUUAACAACAUUAAUUUUCCUUGGAAAUAUCUCUUGCAAAAGGUAAAAGGAAUGUUCUUUAACUCUUAUGGUUUUCUGGCUCACACAGAUCUCCUGGAUUCCUGUUACAGGGAUGUGGCAUUGUCCAGUUCUGUGUCGGGGCCUGGCUCAGUUCUAGUCUUGGUACUUAAAUAUAUGGUUUGUUGUUCUUUUAUAGUAAGAAAUAUAUUUGGAAUUUCUUAACAAAGGGAAAAGUAUUAAAUAGAAAUUCAUCUACCAGUGGUAAAGUGUAUAAAAUAAUUUCUCAAAUCAUCAUUGUUUGUACUAGAGAUUUGGCACAGUGACAUAAUAUUUAGAUUAUCAUAGUCUACUUUGUACAAUGCUAUUAUGCUUGUUGCUACAUUGUUUAAUUCCAAAAAAAUACUCCAUUUUUUGAAAUGACGGAAUAAAGAAAAAAGACAUCCCACUGAAAUGCUGGGGUAACACCUUGUAUUCCUAUGAUCUUUGGUUUAAUUCUACAGUCUAUGUCUCAUUACCACACUGAAAAUCAAAUAGAAAUAAUAAUUAUAUAAGGUUAAAUAUUAUAAAGAUAUUUUAAAAUGCAUUUAGAGACUCUAAUAUUUGAUUUAGAUUUUCUUUAUCAAGGUUUGUUAUUAGGGAGCGUAAACAACAACGAAUUUCAGAAAACCAAAGUCUAGCUAAUUAUAAGACUUAAAUCAGCAUUUAUUAAAACUUUUUAAUAUUGAAAUAAAUUCGUGGCAAUACUUUAAUGAAAUGGCCCUGGAUUUAUAGCUAGGUGACCUGGAUUCUUUUCCUAACUAGGAAUUGGUGAGAACUGCUUGCCAGCAGGUUUUCCUAAGAUGUUGGACUGUUUUGAGCAGAGGCACCAGCAAGGAAUGGGUCCUCUUCCUCUGGCUCGUGAUUAACCCCUGAAGUUCCAAGUGUUAUUCCUAGAACAAAAAGAGCUGGCUAUCCCCAAAGAGGCUUUUUCAAAAGAUCUUAGGUCAAAUUUUAACCAAGUACCAUCUCCUUUCUGAGGAAAUAGGGGCCUCCUGACAUGAUAGCCUCCCUUCUUUUCUGCAGGUAACGGCAACAUUAUCUUCAACAGUGUUUAGGUACUUACCAAUUACAGGUGACAGACGGCCCACCUGGGUAUUGUAAGUGAUGUACUGAAGAUAGAAUACAUGUAAUAAUCAUAAGGCAAAUUUGCCUUAAUACUUCUUCAGCUAAUUGUACUUAAAAUGAAACAUUUCUCCUAUAGUUUUAUGAGGAAAGUAGGUGGAUUAUUAAUCCUUUAAUGUGGCAAAAUGUAAUUAUCCAAAGGUAGUUAAAACUAAUUGCAUUCUUUAUGCUAUUCAUAUUUUAUGAGCUAAAAAAAGAUAUAGAAUGCUAUGCUCAAAUUUGAAUUGCUUUUAUUCAUUUUGCAUUUCAUUAUCUAGUGCAUUAUCUAAUGAGUCUCAUUGGCUUCUGGGAAUAAGCACUGUAAAUUUGGAAAACUUUAUUUUUUUUUAUUCUCUAUUCUUGUUUUGUUUCUUUUGGCAUCCCACUUAUUACUUUUUCAUCUCUCCUUUACCUUUUUUUUUUGGUCCUCUAAUACCUGGAAGAUAAACCAAAGACAUAGUCCUUCCUCACAAAUGCUGACACUUUGGAAACUGCUCAAGUUUGAUAGAUUAAAUGCCUACUGAUGCUGCCGCCCUUUAUAUAAAGAGAUCAAAGCACAUAGAUGAGAAAUGAACAACUCACUGCGUUUAUCAGCCUCAUGCUUCCUAUUCAAAGAUGAACCCAUAACACCAUGAAGUUAACCUUAAAAACAUCUAAGAGUAGAGGGAUGAUGUGGAAACCUGCCUAUGAUUUUCUCUAUACUUGGGGUGCUCACUACGGAAACAGCUAC